ensembl:lncRNA
GAAAUAUUAAUAUAUGAAUCAUUCCUAGUAUUUUGCAUCAAAGAACAAAAUGUUAGGCAAUAUAUCUCUUCAUGCAUCUACCAUUAUUUUGGAUAAUUGGAUGUGAUGCUUUAGUAGUGAAAUAGGCUUUAGUAUUUAUAAAAAUUCAAGGUCAGUAUAUAGUAAAAGUGUCUUAAGGUCUGUCUUUUAUGUCUGUUAGUAGAUAGAUCUUAGUCUACUUAGUAUUUCUCAGUAAUUUAGUAAAUAUUUUUAUGUAGCACUUAGUAUGUAUUAGGCACUAUUUUAAGUACUAAAGAAUAUAGUGAUGUUGAAGACAGAAUCCUUGUGUCCAAGAAGCUGAAGUUUGGUGGUUGGAAACAGAUGUAAUAAAAUGAUUUCAGUUAUUGAUUGCUGUUACAGAAGAGAGUCCAGAGGUAAAGUAUGAGAGUUCAGCCAGAGCAGUUGGUAAAGGCCUUGUUGCACGAGGUGACUUCUCCGUUUUUUUGCAAAUGAUGAGAAGGAUAUAGCACAUAAAUAAUCUUAAGGAAUUUUUCAGGGAAAUAAUCAUUCAGAGGGAUCAAAGGACAGGAAUUUUUUUUUAGAGAUAUGCGAUAUUAAGGAUAGCUGUCUGGGUAGAUUGGUAGACUUACUGAAGGAAAAAAUGACAGAUUUUUGAAUCUGAUUAUAUUUUUUCAGUGAAGAAAGUGGUAAAGUUACUAACCAAGUAUGAAGAAGCAUAUUGAGAUAUGUUUAUGGAGAGAGAGAGUGAGGUAUUUAUCUGGAGAGUGGGUUUACUGGGGCAAGGAGUAGGACUGUUUGGCAUUGUUGUGUACCCCUUUCAGAUAAUGAGUACACAUCUGAAGUAGAUCUGUGUAUGUGAGUUGUGUAUGUGUGUACUCUGUGUUCUGCUGUGCUGCCUCGUCCUAGAGGAAGCAGAUGAUUGGAUUGGGGUAUUAUUAGAUGAGCACAACAGGAGGAGAGAGGGUAAGGGAGUUGGGGUACUAUGUUAUAAACUAGACUGCAGACUCUAGGAUGGAUGAGGAGAGAAGGACAUCUAGACCGCGUGUGUGCAAAGCCUUUUCGGUCGUGUCUGACCCUGUGACCCUAUGGGCUAUAGCCCACCAGGCUCCUCUAUCCAUGAGAUUGUCCAGGCAGGGGUACUGGGAUGCCACUUCUUUCUCCAGGGGAUCUUCCCGACCCAGGGAUCGAACCCAUGUCUCUUAUAUCUCCUGCAUUGGCAGGUGGGUUCUUUACCACUAGUGCCACCUGGGAAGCCAUCAAGUAAAGAAUUAAGAGGCUAUGGAAUGGAAGUCCAAUGGUCAAGUUUUGGGGUCUGGAAGUCCCUAAGAAUAACAGGAGUAUUGGUGGAAAGUAGGUGCUAUAAAUUUUUAAUGAAGAAAGAGGAAAGAACAAGUGAGUUUGAUGGAAAGUGACAAGGGCCAUCAAGGAGAGCUACUCUGUCUCCAGGCUUUGAGGUAAGAGGGAUGUGAGAGGAAAAGCAGCUUCCGCUUGAGAGGACCAAGGAGCAGCAGCGUCCUAAGCGAGCACCAGUUGCACUUAUGGUGAGGGAAACCUUCAAGGAUAGGAGGGCUUACUGGUAAUUAGGUUGAACAUCUAAUUUAUUAUAUAAAGGAGGGAAAUUUUAUCUAUUGGGUGUGACAGCGUACAAACAGUAAAGUGAGAUAGGAAUGUUCAAAUGGUAAUACAUAGUCACCCUAUUGAUCACUGACCAUGAAUUCUAAAAGGUGCAGUGGAAAGGUUUGUUCAUUGUGUGUAUUUUUCCCAUACUACCAAGGAAUUAAAUCAGUUUCUGAGGACACUGACCUAAUAUUCCACAAAUGUAACUCAGUUCUGAUACUCCUGAGAGACAGUGGUGGAUUCCACAGACUACAGGCUUAACCUCCCAAGUCACUCCCCUGCCUCAGGUCCAGGUUAUCACCUGUGCCUUCUGACCAGCUGGCUGUAGACUGAAAGGUCCAAUAAUCCUUGCCUUGGGUUGGAUUAGUUUGCUGGAGUGGCUCACAGAACUUGGAGAAACAUUUUACUUACGAGAUUGGCAGCUUAUUAUUGAAGGAUGUAACUCAAGAAGAGCCAGAUGGAAGAAUUACAUAGGACAAGGUAUAUGGGAUGGGGCUUGGAGCUUCCAAGCCCUCUCUAGGCUCAUCACUCUCCCUGAAUCUCCAUAUUUUCAACAACCUGGAAGCUCUCUGAACACUUUCCUUUCUGGAUUUUUACAGAAGCUUCGUUAUAUAAGUAUGUUUGAUUAAAUCAGUGACCAUUGGAGAUUGAUUCAGCCUCUAACUGCUCUCAUCUUCAUGGUCUUUCUAAUUAUGGCUUAUUUUACCUCGAGUUAUAACCUCCAGAAUCAUCCAUGUUGUUGAAAAUGGCAGAAUUUCCUUUUUUAAAAUCAUUACACACACACACGCGCACACACACAUACACAUUUUAUUUAUCCAUUAAAGGACACUUGGUUUACUUCUAUAUUUUGGCUGUUGUGAAUAAUCCUAUAGUAAUGUGGGGGUACUGAAAGUUUCAACCCUCCAAUCCUGUGGCUGGUACUCCUGGCAGCAGGCUCCCAUCAUUAAGUGCUUAAAAGUCACCUUGUUAACAUAAACUCAGGGCUGGUAGAAAGGAGUUUAUUAUAAACGUAAGGGCCCCUUUAUUGCUUUUAUCACUUAGGAAAUUCCGAAGAUUUUAGGAGGUCUGUCAGAAAUGAGAAAGAAGAUGAAAUACAUAUUUCUUGCUAUAAAUCACAGUGUCACAGUUUGUAAGGGUAAGAAGAGUAGGAAAUGGAGUUUUAGAGAAGUCUAGUGGUGAGUCUGUAGGAUGACAGAUAAUCUUGGAAGUUUGCAUUUCUUAUUGAAAUGACUGGACAUGUAAAGUAUGAUGGGACUCAUCCUGAGGUCAGAACACUCAGUAAAUCUUUAAAUCCCAAGAAUGUUUUUUUAUUGUUACAAAGGAAUAAUUGGAAAAUAUGAUUUAUAUAUUUAUAUAAUAUGAUGAUUUGAUAUACAUAUGCAUUAUAAAAUGAUUACCAAGAUCAAGAUAAUUAACACAUCCAUCACCUCACAUAGUUGAUACUGGCAAACUCUUGUGUAUCUGGUGAGAAUGCUUAGGAUCUAAUGCACAAAGUAACUUGAUAUUUGUAUAUACUGCAAAGUGAUCAUCUCAAUAAGUCUAGUUAAUAUCCAUAACCAUACAGAAUUGCAAUUUUUUUUUGCCUGCUAUGAGAACUUUCAAGAUUUACUUUCAUAGCAACUUUCAAAUAUACAGAUAUUAUUAAGUAUAGUCCCCAUGCUGUAUAUUAGAUCCUCAGAACUUAUUCUUGUAACUGAAAAUUUGUGCCCAUUGCCCUGUAUCACCCUAUUCCCCCCUACCCCAGCCCCUGGUAACUACCAUUCUAUUUUCUUUUCCAAAGAAAUUAGCUUUUUUUUUAAGAUUUCACAUAUAAGUGAUACCAUUUAGUAUUUGUCUUUCUUUAUUUUACUUAGCGUAGUGCUCUCCACUGUACAUCCAUGUUGUUGCACAUGGCAGGAUUUACUUAUUUUUUAUGGCUGAAUAAUAUCUCUGUGUGUGUGUGUGUGUGUGUGUGUGUGUGUGUGUGUGUGUGUGUGUGUGUGUGUGUGUAAUAUUUUCUCUUAAUCUGUUGACCCAUUGAAGUACAUUUAGAUUGUGUUCAUGUUUUGGCUAUUGUAAAAAAUGCUGUAACAUGAGGAUGCAGGUUUGUCUUAAAGAUUCUGAUUUUAAUUCCUUCAUAUAUAUAUAUACCCAGAAGUGGGAUUGCUGGACCUUAUGGUGGCUCUAUUUUUUUUAUUUUUUGAGGAACUGUCGUACUGUUUUCCAUAGUGGCUGUACCAUUUUUACAUUUCUAUCUGCAGGGUUUAGGGAUUCCCUUUUCUCAACAUUUUUGUUCUCUCUUGUGUUCUUGUUCUCUUUUAACAGGUAUGAGAUGAUAACUCAUAGUUUUAAACUUUUUUACUUCUUUAUUGAAGUAUAAUCGGUUUACAGUUAUCAUAUUCUGCAGUAUUCUUGCUUGGACAAUUCUGUGGUCAGAGGAGCCUGGCAGGCUACAUGGGGUCGCCAAGAGUUGGACACGACUGAGCGAUUAACACUGACAUAUUAAUUUCAGGUGUACCACACAGUGAUUCAGUUUGAGUGUAUAUAUGUAUCUGUGUGUGUAUAUGUAUAUAUAUACAUUCUUUUUCAGAUUCUUUUCCAUUAUAGGUUACUACAGAAUAUUGAAUAUAUUUCCUUGUGCUAUACAGUAGGUCUUUGUUGGUGAUCUAUUUUAUAUAUAGUAGUGUGCAUAUGUUAAUUCCAGCCUUCUAAAUUAGAAGGGAUAAAUUGCCCCUCCUCCUCUUUCCGCUUUGGUAGCCAUAAGUUUGUUUUCUGUGUCUGUGAAUUUGUUUCUGCUUUGUAAAUAAGUUCAUUUGUAUUUUUUAUUCCAUGUAUAAGCGAUGUCACGAUACUUGUUUUUCUCUGACUUCACUUAGCAUGAUAAACUCUGAGUCCAUCCCUGUUGCUACAAAUGGUGUUAUUUUGUUCUUUUUUAAUGGCUGAGUAAUAAUUCCAUUAUACACGUGUGUGCGCACACACACACACACACACACCCCACUUCUAUAUCCAUUCAUCUGUCAACGGACAUUUAAAUUCCUUCCAUGUCUUGGCUAUUGUAAAUAGUGACGCAGUGAACAUUGGGGUGCAUGUAUCAUUUUGAAUUAUAGUUUUCUAUGGAUAUAUGCCCAGGGGUGGGAUUGCAGGAUCAUAUGUUAACUCUGUUUUUAAUUUUUUAAGGAACUUCCAUACUGUUCUCCAUAGUGGCUGCAUAAUUAUGGGUUUGAUUUUCAUUUCUCUGAUGAUUAGUAGAAUAAGACCCAACUGUAUACAUUCCAUAAGAUGCUCCAGACAUUUUAAAAGUCAAGACAAGGUAAAAGGUAAAAGGCUGGAAAGAGAUACACCAUGCAGAUUUUGACUUUUAAAAUUUUCUAAUCCAUGUUAUCCUUCAUCCAACAUAUAUAUAUUUAACACCUAGUAGCUGUCAGGUACUGUCUCAAGUACAAUGCUGUAUGUUUAAAAAAAUC